GUCUAAGUACAAGCCUGAACAUGGUGAAACCGCGAAUGGCUCAUUAAAUCAGUUAUGGUUCCUUAGAUCGUUAGUUGUCCUACAUGGAUAACUGUAGUAAUUCUAGAGCUAAUACAUGCAAUAAAGCUCCGACCUCACGGGAAGAGCGCGUUUAUUAGAUCAAGACCGACCGGGCUGAGUCUCUCGGUCCGCCUCUUGGUGAUUCUGGAUAACUUUGAGCUGAUCGCAUGGCCUCGAGCCGGCGACGUAUCUUUCAAAUGUCUGCCCUAUCAACUUUCGUUGGUAAGUGCUUUGCUUACCAAGGUUUUUACGGGUAACGGGGGAUGAGGGUUCGAUUCCGGAG
rnacentral:rRNA from 1 species